UACGUAGGUGGCAAGCGUUGUCCGGAUUUAUUGGGUUUAAAGGGUGCGUAGGCGGUCGAUUAAGUCAGUGGUGAAAUACUUCAGCUCAACUGGAGAGGUGCCAUUGAUACUGGUUGAUUUGAGUACUGAUGAGGUAGGCGGAAUGGACGGUGUAGCGGUGAAAUGCGUAGAUAUCGGAAGGAACAUCAGUGGCGAAGGCGACUUCCUGGACCAAUACUGACGCUCAGGUGCGAAAGCGUGGGGAGCAAACAGG
rnacentral:rRNA from 1 species